rnacentral:rRNA from 1 species
UACAGAGGUCUCAAGCGUUUGUUCGGAUUCAUUGGGCGUAAAGGGUGCGUAGGUGGCGUCGUAAGUGGGGUGUGAAAUCCCGGGGCUUUAACCCCGGGACUGCAUUCCAUACUGCGGUGCUUGAGGACUGGAGAGGAGACUGGAAUUUACGGUGUAGCAGUGAAAUGCGUAGAGAUCGUAAGGAAGACCAGUGGCGAAGGCGGGUCUCUGGACAGUUCCUGACACUGAGGCACGAAGGCCAGGGGAGCAAACGGGG